rnacentral:rRNA from 1 species
UACGUAGGGUGCAAGCGUUAAUCGGAAUUACUGGGCGUAAAGCGUGCGCAGGCGGUUUUGUAAGUCUGUCGUGAAAUCCCCGGGCUCAACCUGGGAAUUGCGAUGGAGACUGCAAGGCUAGAAUCUGGCAGAGGGGGGUAGAAUUCCACGUGUAGCAGUGAAAUGCGUAGAGAUGUGGAGGAACACCGAUGGCGAAGGCAGCCCCCUGGGUCAAGAUUGACGCUCAUGCACGAAAGCGUGGGGAGCAAAGAGG